rnacentral:tmRNA from 2 species
ACACUUCACAUUAGGCGCCAGAGGCUUAUAUCGGUCCUCGCCGGCUUCGGCCGGAUAUGGCGAUAAAUGGUAGUGUGUAAUAGGCGCAGCGGACCCGGGGGCAGUACCCGGCGGCUCCACCAAAAAGCGUCCCGAGCUUCGGUGACAGGGCGCUUCCUGACGGGGUCGAACUAGGAUCGACGUGUGUUGAAAGGCAUUGUUUUCGCCCGGGCUGAGUAACCCGUUAAAGGCUCAAAACCCACAAGUGCCAACGAUAACGAAGCACUUGCUCUCGCUGCGUAACCUGACGGCCUAACGGCCUGACAUUACAAAGCAAAGAGCACGGUUCGGACCGAACCGGGUAACAGAAUCGGAAACC